rnacentral:rRNA from 1 species
AGUAACGGCGAGUGAAGCGGGAAAAGCUCAAAUUUAAAAUCUGGCGCUUGCGAGAGCGUCCGAGUUGUAAUCUAGAGAAGCACCUUCGGCGUUGGACCGUGUAUAAGUCUCUUGGAAUGGAGCAUCACAGAGGGUGACAAUCCCGUCUUUGACACGGAUUUUCCAGUGCUGUACGGAUGUGCUUUCGAAGAGUCGAGUUGUUUGGGA